rnacentral:rRNA from 1 species
GACGAACGCUGGCGGCGUGCUUAACACAUGCAAGUCGAACGGAAAGGCCCUGCUUUUGUGGGGUGCUCGAGUGGCGAACGGGUGAGUAACACGUGAGUAACCUGCCCUUGACUUUGGGAUAACUUCAGGAAACUGGGGCUAAUACCGGAUAGGAGCUCCUGCUGCAUGGUGGGGGUUGGAAAGUUUCGGCGGUUGGGGCUGGACUCGCGGCUUAUCAGCUUGUUGGUGGGGUAGUGGCUUACCAAGGCUUUGACGGGUAGCCGGCCUGAGAGGGUGACCGGCCACAUUGGGACUGAGAUACGGCCCAGACGCCUACGGGAGGCAGCAGUGGGGAGUAUUGCACAAUGGGCGGAAGCCUGAUGCAGCAACGCCGCGUGCGGGAUGACGGCCUUCGGGUUGUAAACCGCUUUCGCCUGUGACGAAGCGUGAGUGACGGUAAUGGGUAAAGAAGCACCGGCUAACUACGUG